rnacentral:rRNA from 1 species
CACGGGGGGAGCAAGCGUUGUUCGGAAUCACUGGGCGUAAAGGGCGUGUAGGCGGUCAGGUAAGUGGGACGUGAAAUCCCUCGGCUCACCCGAGGACCUGCGUCCCAAACUGCUUGGCUUGAGUAUGGGAGAGGAUGAGGGAAUUCCUGGUGUAGCGGUGAAAUGCGUAGAUAUCAGGAGGAACACCGGUGGCAAAGGCGCUCAUCUGGCCCAAUACUGACGCUGAGGCGCGAAAGCUAGGGGAGCAAACGGG